GUUUCAGACUGCAGGACUGAGAUCUGUCCUUCAACACAACAGAAACCACGACAACCAUGACUCUGAUCACCAUCUUCAUCUGGACACUGGUCUGCUGCUGCCUCAAAGGAUCCAGAGGUCAGGUGACUGUGACUCAGCCUCCUGUAGUGACAUUUUCUCCAGGAGACCCUGUCACUCUGACCUGUACAACCAACCUUAAAGUGUACAAAUGGGAUGGUGGAGAGGAGGGUGCGUACUGGUAUCUAGAGAGACCUGGAGAAGCUCCCAAACUCCUGAUAAAAAACGUAAAGACACGGCAAGAUAGGAUUCCUGCUAGAUUCAGUGGCAGUGGGUCUGAGAGUGACUUCACUCUGACCAUCAGUGGAGUCCAGGCUGAAGAUGCAGCAGUUUACUACUGUAAGAGUUUCCACUAUCUCAACAGUAAAAAUAUCUUCACACAGUGAUUUAGAGCCGUACAAAAACCUCCUGCUCGAAAUACACACAUCAUUGGUCCACUGGACACAGAACUAAUGGUCUUGUUAUAUGACAUCACCAAGUACAACCACU